GACGAACGCUGGCGGCGUGCCUAAUACAUGCAAGUAGAACGCUGAAGGAGGAGCUUGCUCUUCUGGAUGAGUUGCGAACGGGUGAGUAACGCGUAGGUAACCUGCCUGGUAGCGGGGGAUAACUAUUGGAAACGAUAGCUAAUACCGCAUAAGAGUAGAUGUUGCAUGACAUUUACUUAAAAGGUGCAAUUGCAUCACUACCAGAUGGACCUGCGUUGUAUUAGCUAGUUGGUGGGGUAACGGCUUACCAAGGCGACGAUACAUAGCCGACCUGAGAGGGGGAUCGGCCACACUGGGACUGAGACACGGCCCAGACUCCUACGGGAGGCAGCAGUAGGGAAUCUUCGGCGAUGGACGGAAGUCUGACCGAGCAACGCCGCGUGAGUGAAGAAGGUUUUCGGAUCGUAAAGCUCUGUUGUAAGAGAAGAACGAGUGUGAGAGUGGAAAGUUCACACUGUGACGGUAUCUUACCAGAAAGGGACGGCUAACUACGUG
rnacentral:rRNA from 1 species